GACGAACGCUGGCGGCGUGCUUAACACAUGCAAGUCGAACGAGGUCCAUGAAGUAGCAAUACUUCGGAAGACCUAGUGGCGAACGGGUGCGUAACACGUGAGGAACUUGUCCCGGUCUCUGGGAUAACAGUUGGAAACGACUGCUAAUACCGGAUGACGUCGGAGCGUCGCAUGGCGCGCUGACGAAAGGGUUACCGGAUCGGGAGAGCCUCGCGGCCUAUCAGCUUGUUGGUGGGGUAAUGGCCUACCAAGGCAUCGACGGGUAGCUGGUCUGAGAGGAUGAUCAGCCACACUGGGACUGAGACACGGCCCAGACUCCUACGGGAGGCAGCAGUGGGGAAUCUUGCGCAAUGGGCGAAAGCCUGACGCAGCAACGCCGCGUGCGGGAAGAAGGCUCUCGGGUUGUAAACCGCUUUCAGCAGGAACGAAAUGACGGUACUUGCAGAAGAAGGUGCGGCCAACUACGUGCCAGCAGCCGCGGUAAUGUCGA
rnacentral:rRNA from 1 species